UACGGAGGAUGCAAGCGUUAUCCGGAAUGAUUGGGCGUAAAGCGUCCGCAGGUGGCUUUGUAAGUCUGCUGUUAAAGAGUGAGGCUCAACCUCAUAAAAGCAGUGGAAACUACAAGGCUAGAGUACGUUCGGGGCAGAGGGAAUUCCUGGUGUAGCGGUGAAAUGCGUAGAGAUCAGGAAGAACACCGGUGGCGAAAGCGCUCUGCUAGGCCGUAACUGACACUGAGGGACGAAAGCUAGGGGAGCGAAUGGG
rnacentral:rRNA from 1 species